UACAAGAGAAAAUAGACUAAGAGUUCCAACAGAAGCUACUGUUUGGUGAAUAUGUAAAUUUUCGGACAUUAAGCAUUAGCACAUCGUAUUCAGAGCGGUGGUCUUCUUCAGAAGCAGUUUGCUUGAGGCUUGGGGCUUGAGGGGCAGCUAUGUCAUUCCUAGGGAUGGAUGAUUCUUGUGGUACCGUUUGUAUAGAUCAUCGUGGUGAGAAAUAUGAGAUAUGGACUAGAAUCCCAACAGAAGUUAUUCUUUGGUGAAUCCUAAGGCAAUUUGCUUUCAGAGAUUCAAGUGAUAUACUCCAGAAAGCGAUUUGCUUUAUGUAGCUGACCAUCCACUCACUGAAAUUAAUUUCACGGCAAAAAAAAAGCUGCCCCCAAGCCCCAAGCAAAUUGAUUGCAGAAAUAGAUCACCUGAACUUCUGAAAGUAGUGUGCGUAAGGUUCGAUAAUUUACACAUUCACCAAAGAAUAACUUCUAUUGGAACUCUUAAUCUAUGUACUCUCAUG